UACGUAGGGUGCGAGCGUUGCCCGGAUUUAUUUGGGCGUAAAGGGCGCGUAGGCGGCCACGCACGUCCGUUGUGAAAUCGCCCGGCUCAACUGGGCGGGGUCAGCGGAUACGGUGUGGCUCGAGCAAGCUAGGGGGCAAUGGAAUUCCCGGUGUAGUGGUGGAAUGCGUAGAUAUCGGGAGGAACACCAGUGGCGAAGGCGGUUGCCUGGAGCUUUGCUGACGCUGAGGCGCGAAAGCGUGGGGAGCGAUCCGG
rnacentral:rRNA from 1 species